rnacentral:rRNA from 1 species
AUUGAACGCUGGCGGCAGGCCUAACACAUGCAAGUCGAGCGGUAGCACAGAGAGCUUGCUCUCGGGUGACGAGCGGCGGACGGGUGAGUAAUGUCUGGGAAACUGCCUGAUGGAGGGGGAUAACUACUGGAAACGGUAGCUAAUACCGCAUAACGUCGCAAGACCAAAGAGGGGGACCUUCGGGCCUCUUGCCAUCAGAUGUGCCCAGAUGGGAUUAGCUAGUAGGUGGGGUAACGGCUCACCUAGGCGACGAUCCCUAGCUGGUCUGAGAGGAUGACCAGCCACACUGGAACUGAGACACGGUCCAGACUCCUACGGGAGGCAGCAGUGGGGAAUAUUGCACAAUGGGCGCAAGCCUGAUGCAGCCAUGCCGCGUGUAUGAAGAAGGCCUUCGGGUUGUAAAGUACUUUCAGCGAGGAGGAAGGUGCUGAGGUUAAUAACCUCA